AGGCACGUAGCUCAGUUGGUUAGAGCACCACCUUGACAUGGUGGGGGGCGUUGGUUCGAAUCCAAUCGUGCCUACCA
rnacentral:tRNA from 1 species